rnacentral:rRNA from 1 species
AUUGAACGCUGGCGGCAUGCUUUACACAUGCCAGUCGAACGGUAACAGGCCUUCGGGUGCUGACGAGUGGCGAACGGGUGAGUAAUGCAUCGGAACGUACCCAGAGGUGGGGGAUAACGCAGCGAAAGCUGUGCUAAUACCGCAUGUGAUCUGAGGAUGAAAGCGGGGGACCGGGCAGCAAUGUUUGGCCUCGCGCCUUUGGAGCGGCCGAUGUCGGAUUAGCUAGUUGGUGGGGUAAAGGCCUACCAAGGCGACGAUCCGUAGCUGGUCUGAGAGGACGACCAGCCACACUGGGACUGAGACACGGCCCAGACUCCUACGGGAGGCAGCAGUGGGGAAUUUUGGACAAUGGGCGCAAGCCUGAUCCAGCAAUGCCGCGUGCGGGAAGAAGGCCUUCGGGUUGUAAACCGCUUUUGGCAGGAACGAAACGGUGUCCGCUAAUACCGGGCGCUAAUGACGGUACCUGCAGAAUAAGCACCGGCUAACUACGUG